rnacentral:tRNA from 1 species
GCCAGCGUAGCUCAGUCGGCAGAGCGGGGCAUUCGUAAUGCCCAGGUCGCGGGUUCAAGUCCCGCCGCUGGCU